UUGUUUUCUCUUUCUUCUUUCUCGAUAAAAUUGAUUUCACAGUAGAAAGAAAGAAGAAAAUUCGAAACCCGUGAACUCUUUUCUUUUUAUCUACUACAAGUUCAACAUGCUCUCUCUCUCUCUCACACACACAAACAGUUACACUCUCUUUCUUCUUCUCUUGAGCUGAACCAGUGAAGAAUGAGUGAGGCAAUGAAGCUUCAGAUCUCGUGCUGAUUCGAUCCGAAGGCGUUGGAUUGAUUCAUGGAAUCGAGGAGAUGAAGUUCUACAUAUCUGCGAAGGGAAUCAAGAGAGUCACAAUAUCGAACGGCGCCGGCGCCGGAGAAGGAUCGGCCAAGACGACGACGUCGACGGCUGCGUCACCCGCUGCUGCCUCCUCCGGUCGCCGGUUUACCAGUAGGACGAUGCUUCCGGUAGUGCUGGUGCUAGGAAUCGUGUUGCCGUUUCUCUUUGUGAGGAUCGCGAUCUUGAUACUUGAAUCAGCUGCGGCCUGCUCCUCACUCGCUGGUGAGAGUUUAUCGGUGAAAAUGAUUGCUGCAGAUUGUGCUGGAUGGAGGUUUUUCAGUGGGGCUGACACGUCACUGAAACUCAGAGAUGAGUUGACCAGAGCGCUAAUAGAGGCAAAUGAUGGUAAUGUUAAUGAAGGCGCAGAGUCAUUCAAUGAACUUGUGAAGGAGAUGACCUCUAAACAAGACCUUAAGGCUUUUGCUUUCAAGACCAAAGCCAUGCUAUCACAGAUGGAACGAAAGGUACAAUCAGCAAGACAGCAGGAGUCAGUUUAUUGGCAUCUAGCGUCACAUGGUGUUCCCAAAAGUCUACAUUGUCUUUGUCUAAAGUUGGCUGAAGAAUAUGCUGUAAAUGCCAUGGCCCGAUCUCGUCUUCCUCCUCCUGAAUUUGUGUCUCGCCUUGUUGACCCUACGUUUCACCACCUAGUUCUCCUAACUGACAAUGUCCUUGCUGCCUCUGUUGUUGUAACCUCCACAGUUGAAAAUUCAGUCGAUCCUGAAAAAAUAGUUUUCCACAUUGUUACUGACAAAAAAACUUAUGCUCCAAUGCAUACUUGGUUUGCCUCCAAUUCUAUUAAAUCAGCAAUUGUGGAAGUUAGGGGAUUACAUCAAUAUGACUGGUCUGAAGAAGUGAAUGCUGGUGUUAAAGAGAUGCUGGAAACUAAUCACUUAAUUUGGAAGCACUACUGUAAUAAGGAGAAGGAACUCGACUAUAGUCAAGAGCAUAACAGAUGUUUUGAGGCUUUAAGGCCCAGCAGCUUUUCCUUGAUGAAUCAACUCCGCAUUUAUUUGCCUGAGCUGUUUCCAGAUCUCAAAAAAAUAGUAUUCUUGGAUGAUGAUGUUGUAGUACAACAUGACAUAUCUUCUUUGUGGGAACUAGAUCUUAAUGGCAAAAUCAGUGGUUCAGUAUUCGAGACAUGGUGCAGAGACCGCUGCUGCCCUGGAAGUAAAUACAUGAACUACCUGAACUUUUCACAUCCUCUCAUAUCAGCAAACUUUGACGGUGAUCAGUGUGCAUGGGUCUAUGGCAUGAAUAUAUUUGAUCUUGAAGCUUGGAGGAGAACAAAUGUCACUGAGACCUACCAUCAAUGGUUGAAACUUAACCUCAAGUCUGGGACGGCGUUGUGGAAUCCAGGAGUGUUUCCACCUGCCUUAAUUGCAUUUGAGGGUCAAGUGCAUCCUAUAGAUUCAUCAAUGCUUGUGACUAAUUUAGGUUAUCGCUAUCAAUCAGAAGAAAUUAGCAAAGAGAGAUUGGAAGCUGCGGCUGUUAUUCAUUUCAGUGGCCCUGCUAAGCCAUGGCUUGAAAUUGGUUUCCCUGAGUUUAGAAGUUUAUGGAGUAGAUACGUAAAUUUCUCUGAUAAGUUUAUUAGGAGAUGUAGAAUUACAGGGUAAACAAACAAAGUUCUUCCACCUCCAAUAUUUAUUGAGAUUGAACAAGUGAUACCGUAUGGGAUUAGAGGGAAGAAGGUUCUACCUUCAGUCUCUGACUCAUACCCUCUGCACAGUAUGAUAUCGAUUACGUCAUGUCCAUAUAAAUAGUAAAUAGUCAUAUGAAGCUACCACGCAAUACCCUAUUAGAAGCAGCAUCUGCAGUUAAGAAAGAUGUUUGCAUCAUGAUCUAGCUGUGACAAAACUGUAAAUUUCUUUAUCAAAAAGGAGAAAAUGGUCUGCUUGAUUUGAAAUUUCAGCUAGACGGUUCUCAAGUCUGAUUACAUGAAACUCUCGAUAAUCACUUACCAUGCAGCUUGGGAGUUCAUCUCUUUGGUCUUGAUUGGCUCACUAAAGAAUAAUAUCUUUGUUAGCUCUUUAAUUGUCUGCUGUAACAUCUGCGAUUUGAUAUGGUCUAUGGCAUUUAUUCUCGGGCUGUUGAUCAGAAUGAAUGAAAUGGAUCUGAAAU